rnacentral:rRNA from 1 species
CCUACGGGUGGCAGCAGUGAGGAAUAUUGGUCAAUGGGCGCGAGCCUGAACCAGCCAAGUAGCGUGAAGGAUGACUGCCCUACGGGUUGUAAACUUCUUUUAUAAAGGAAUAAAGUGAGGCACGUGUGCCUUUUUGUAUGUACUUUAUGAAUAAGGAUCGGCUAACUCCGUGCCAGCAGCCGCGGUAAUACGGAGGAUCCGAGCGUUAUCCGGAUUUAUUGGGUUUAAAGGGAGCGUAGAUGGGUUGUUAAGUCAGUUGUGAAAGUUUGCGGCUCAACCGUAAAAUUGCAAUUGAUACUGGCAGGGUUGAAGACAUUGGGGGUAGGCGGAAUGCGUGGUGUAGCGGUGAACUACU